rnacentral:sRNA from 1 species
CCGCAAUAGAUCUUAAAAGCAUAAGUAUUGUAUCAUUGUUAGAAGAUACAAUGACGAAGACUCAUAUGGACUUCGGCUACACCAUCAAAGCUUUGAGAAGCAAGAAGCAGUUUGGUUAGUGUUUUGGAGUCGAAUAUGACUUGAUGUCAUGUGUAUGAGUGAGUAUAAAAAAACUAGAACCA